GAUGAACGCUAGCUACAGGCUUAACACAUGCAAGUCGAGGGGCAGCAUGAAUAUUGGCUUGCCAAUAUUUGAUGGCGACCGGCGCACGGGUGAGUAACACGUAUCCAACCUUCCGGUUACUCGGGGAUAGGCUUUCGAAAGAAAGAUUAAUACCCGAUGUUGUGUAUCUUUCUCCUGAAAGAUACGCCAAAGGAUUCCGGUAACCGAUGGGGAUGCGUUCCAUUAGGCAGUUGGCGGGGUAACGGCCCACCAAACCUUCGAUGGAUAGGGGUUCUGAGAGGAAGGUCCCCCACAUUGGAACUGAGACACGGUCCAAACUCCUACGGGAGGCAGCAGUGAGGAAUAUUGGUCAAUGGACGGAAGUCUGAACCAGCCAAGUAGCGUGAAGGAUGACUGCCCUCUGGGUUGUAAACUUCUUUUAUACGGGAAUAACAUGAGGUACGCGUACCUUAUUGCAUGUACCGUUAUGAAUAAGCAUCGGCUAACUCCGUGCCAGCAGCCGCGGUAAUACGGAGGAUGCGAGCGUUAUCCGGAUUUAUUGGGUUUAAAGGGAGCGUAGGUGGGAUAUUAAGUCAGCUGUGAAAGUUUGGGGCUCAACCUUAAAAUUGCAGUUGAUACUGGUUUCCUUGAGUACGGUACAGGUGGGCGGAAUUCGUGGUGUAGCGGUGGAAUGCUUAGAUAUCACGAAGAACUCCGAUCGCGAAGGCAGCUCACCGGGCCGGAACUGACACUGAUGCUCGAAAGUGCGGGUAUCAAACAGGAUUAGAUACCCUGGUAGUCCGCACAGUAAACGAUGAAUACUCGCUGUUUGCGAUACACUGUAAGCGGCCAAGCGAAAGCGUUAAGUAUUCCACCUGGGGAGUACGCCGGCAACGGUGAAACUCAAAGGAAUUGACGGGGGCCCGCACAAGCGGAGGAACAUGUGGUUUAAUUCGAUGAUACGCGAGGAACCUUACCCGGGCUUAAAUUGCGCUGGCUUUUACCGGAAACGGUAUUUUCUUCGGACCAGCGUGAAGGUGCUGCAUGGUUGUCGUCAGCUCGUGCCGUGAGGUGUCGGCUUAAGUGCCAUAACGAGCGCAACCCUUAUCUUUAGUUACUAACAGUUUUGCUGAGGACUCUAAAGAGACUGCCGUCGUAAGAUGCGAGGAAGGUGGGGAUGACGUCAAAUCAGCACGGCCCUUACGUCCGGGGCUACACACGUGUUACAAUGGGGAGCACAGCAGGUUGCUACACGGCGACGUGAUGCCAAUCCGUAAAACUCCUCUCAGUUCGGAUCGAAGUCUGCAACCCGACUUCGUGAAGCUGGAUUCGCUAGUAAUCGCGCAUCAGCCACGGCGCGGUGAAUACGUUCCCGGGCCU
rnacentral:rRNA from 1 species